CGGACGAGAAGCUUGCUUCUCUGAUGUUAGCGGCGGACGGGUGAGUAACACGUGGAUAACCUACCUAUAAGACUGGGAUAACUUCGGGAAACCGGAGCUAAUACCGGAUAAUAUUUUGAACCGCAUGGUUCAAAAGUGAAAGACGGUCUUGCUGUCACUUAUAGAUGGAUCCGCGCUGCAUUAGCUAGUUGGUAAGGUAACGGCUUACCAAGGCAACGAUGCAUAGCCGACCUGAGAGGGUGAUCGGCCACACUGGAACUGAGACACGGUCCAGACUCCUACGGGAGGCAGCAGUAGGGAAUCUUCCGCAAUGGGCGAAAGCCUGACGGAGCAACGCCGCGUGAGUGAUGAAGGUCUUCGGAUCGUAAAACUCUGUUAUUAGGGAAGAACAUAUGUGUAAGUAACUGUGCACAUCUUGACGGUACCUAAUCAGAAAGCCACGGCUAACUACGUGCCAGCAGCCGCGGUAAUACGUAGGUGGCAAGCGUUAUCCGGAAUUAUUGGGCGUAAAGCGCGCGUAGGCGGUUUUUUAAGUCUGAUGUGAAAGCCCACGGCUCAACCGUGGAGGGUCAUUGGAAACUGGAAAACUUGAGUGCAGAAGAGGAAAGUGGAAUUCCAUGUGUAGCGGUGAAAUGCGCAGAGAUAUGGAGGAACACCAGUGGCGAAAGCGACUUUCUGGUCUGUAACUGACGCUGAUGUGCGAAAGCGUGGGGAUCAAACAGGAUUAGAUACCCUGGUAGUCCACGCCGUAAACGAUGAUUCUAAGUGUUAGGGGGUUUCCGCCCCUUAGUGCUGCAGCUAACGCAUAAGCACU
rnacentral:rRNA from 1 species